GUGGAUAAAAUAUUUGCUAUACACGUAUAACUAGUAAGAGGAAGUCAAUUUGACCUCGUUCAAUGCAAAAACACCUGAUGCGUGUCGAUGAAUCUGUUUGCCCCAAUUCCCGAAGUUUACACAAGAUUUUACCGUUUAUCUCUGAUAUACGACGCAUAAAAAUGCUAUAUCAUAUUUCAAGAGAAUAAGUGAUGAUAACAGGAGGGAUUACUUUACAUCUACUCUAGGUGUGCCUGAUAAUCUGAUAGCUCUAUCUUUCGCUAUACGAUAUCAACG
rnacentral:misc_RNA from 1 species